UACACCACCACACAACCACACAACCACCCUAUCCCCCCCCCACACCCACACACACACUCUGCACACACACACACUCCCCGACUCUCUUUCUCCCUCUCUAAUUUGUAACUAAAACUCCCUUGGAAACCCCUAAGACCCCCCCCCCUCCCCUGCCUAAUGAUUGUGUUUUUACAUUAAUAAGUUAUUUUUUUUUAUCAAAAUUUGAAUUCAUCUCAUCUUCCUCCCCCUCCUCUUGGCCGGAACCCUCAGUAUCACUUCCAUACUCUUCGUUUUUCCAUAAUCAAGUCUCUUACACUUGGAUUUGGUGGCCCUGAUUGCAUCUUGGAGGAUCUAAUGAGCAUUGGAUUGAAGAAUCUCACAAGAACACCCAUUCAAUCUUCAUAUUUUUAGCCCUAGUCUUUUACUAGUCAGGAGUAUGUGAAAAAUGUUCCAAAAGGUUGUUAGGCUCAAAUAGUUGUUGAUUCCAAAACAUAUUUGUUCCCACGAUACAACCAGCUUUCUUCUAUGGUUAGAGUUGGAUGGUGCAAGAGCUAAAGCUGAAAAAGGAUGACAUUUUGCGCCUACAAAAGAAACUUGCUCAAGUGGUAAAUCUUCGGUCUAAUACUAUCCUAACCAUCAAAGAUCCUGAAGGUGUUGAGUUUCGGAUGGGUCUUAAAAAAGAGAUGUCACAUGGUAGACCAAAGUAUGCGGUAGAAGAUUGGCCUUUUAUAUCAAAUGGAAUCGAAGAUGGUGAUAUAUGUACAUUUACUUACUCCAAAAGUGAAGGUAUUUUAUUUCUUAAUGAAGCUGUCAAAAACAUUAACCCUGUUGGUUGAAGGUGGUAGACACGACUUGAAGGUGGUUGGUUUGUUUCUUCUUUUUGUGGUUCAUAUUCUCAAAAACAUUUUCAUGGUGAUUUUAGAACAAUGGAGUAUGGUGUGUUAAGUUUAUAAGUCUUAGCAGUAAAACUAUUUCAUCUGAUGGUUUAGUUUGUAAUUUUAUAUGCUUUGUUGCAUGUUAAAACAAUACUUCUAGAAUGUGUUUAUAACAACACACUCUCAUUCUUUGUUAGUAUAAUGGUUAUGUUUCGUUUUAAA